rnacentral:misc_RNA from 1 species
GAUGAAGAACGCAGCGAAAUGCGAUAAGUAGUGUGAAUUGCAGAAUUCAGUGAAUCAUCGAAUCUUUGAACGCACAUUGCGCCCUUUGGUAUUCCUUAGGGCAUGCCUGUUCGAGCGUCAUUUAAACCUUCAAGCUCAGCUUGGUGUUGGGUGACUGUCCGCUUCACCGCGGACUCGCCUCAAAAUUAUUGGCGGCCGGUACAUUGGCUCUCGAGCGCAGCAGAAACGCGUAACUCGAGGUUCUCGUGCUGGCUCCCAGAAGCUAUCUUCACAAUUUUGACCUCGGAUCAGGUAGGGAUACCCGCUGAACUUAAGCAUAUCAAUAAGCGGAGGA